rnacentral:rRNA from 1 species
AUUCUGUAGCAAGGUUAACCGUAUAGGGGAGCCGAAGGGAAACCGAGUCUUAACCGGGCGUUAAGUUGCAGGGUAUAGACCCGAAACCCGGUGAUCUAGCCAUGGGCAGGUUGAAGGUUGGGUAACACUAACUGGAGGACCGAACCGACUAAUGUUGAAAAAUUAGCGGAUGACCUGUGGCUGGGGGUGAAAGGCCAAUCAAACCGGGAGAUAGCUGGUUCUCCCCGAAAGCUAUUUAGGUAGCGCCUCGUGAAUUCAUCUCCGGGGGUAGAGCACUGUUUCGGCUAGGGGGCCAUCCCGGCUUACCAACCCGAUGCAAACUGCGAAUACCGGAGAAUGUUAUCACGGGAGACACACGGCGGGUGCUAACGUCCGUCGUGAAGAGGGAAACAACCCAGACCGCCAGCUAAGGUCCCAAAGUCAUGGUUAAGUGGGAAACGAUGUGGGAAGGCCCAGACAGCCAGGAUGUUGGCUUAGAAGCAGCCAUCAUUUAAAGAAAGCGUAAUAGCUCACUGGUCGAGUCGGCCUGCGCGGAAGAUGUAACGGGGCUAAACCAUGCACCGAAGCUGCGGCAGCGAACGUAUCACUUAAAGCGAUUCAGCGGGUUACGAUUGACGGAGCGAAGCGACGUCAAAGCGUAUACAAAGUCGAGUCGGUUUAAGGAUACGUUCGUUGGGUAGGGGAGCGUUCUGUAAGCCUGUGAAGGUGUGUCGUGAGGCAUGCUGGAGGUAUCAGAAGUGCGAAUGCUGACAUAAGUAACGAUAAAGCGGGUGAAAAGCCCGCUCGCCGGAAGACCAAGGGUUCCUGUCCAACGUUAAUCGGGGCAGGGUGAGUCGACCCCUAAGGCGAGGCCGAAAGGCGUAGUCGAUGGGAAACGGGUUAAUAUUCCCGUACUUGGUGUUACUGCGAAGGGGGGACGGAGAAGGCUAUGUUGGCCGGGCGACGGUUGUCCCGGUUUAAGCGUGUAGGUGUGUGUUCCAGGUAAAUCCGGUUCACUUUAACACUGAGGCGUGACGACGAGGCACUACGGUGCUGAAGCAACAAAUGCCCUGCUUCCAGGAAAAGCCUCUAAGCAUCAGGUAACAUCAAAUCGUACCCCAAACCGACACAGGUGGUCAGGUAGAGAAUACCAAGGCGCUUGAGAGAACUCGGGUGAAGGAACUAGGCAAAAUGGUGCCGUAACUUCGGGAGAAGGCACGCUGACACGUAGGUGAAGUGAUUUACUCAUGGAGCUGAAGUCAGUCGAAGAUACCAGCUGGCUGCAACUGUUUAUUAAAAACACAGCACUGUGCAAACACGAAAGUGGACGUAUACGGUGUGACGCCUGCCCGGUGCCGGAAGGUUAAUUGAUGGGGUCAGCGCAAGCGAAGCUCCUGAUCGAAGCCCCGGUAAACGGCGGCCGUAACUAUAACGGUCCUAAGGUAGCGAAAUUCCUUGUCGGGUAAGUUCCGACCUGCACGAAUGGCGUAAUGAUGGCCAGGCUGUCUCCACCCGAGACUCAGUGAAAUUGAACUCGCUGUGAAGAUGCAGUGUACCCGCGGCAAGACGGAAAGACCCCGUGAACCUUUACUAUAGCUUGACACUGAACAUUGAGCCUUGAUGUGUAG